UACGGAGGGUGCAAGCGUUAUCCGGAUUUACUGGGUUUAAAGGGUGCGUAGGCGGGCAGGUAAGUCAGAGGUGAAAUCUCCGAGCUUAACUCGGAAACUGCCUUUGAUACUAUCUGUCUUGAAUAUUGUGAAGGUAAGCGGAAUAUGUCAUGUAGCGGUGAAAUGCUUAGAUAUGACAUAGAACACCGAUUGCGAAGGCAGCUUACUACGCAUAUAUUGACGCUGAGGCACGAAAGCGUGGGGAUCAAACAGG
rnacentral:rRNA from 1 species